CAUGCCUCCCUCAGAGCUCUCACUGUGAGGAAAAAAGCAUCCAUCUCAUUCGUUACAGGCAGGUAAUAAAUGAGCCCGUGAAAACAGUCUGCAGGCACUAAGGAGUUACAGCAUCCUACCAGGAAAUGUCUGCUGGCAGCCAAUGGAAGGAGUGACAAACAAUGCAGAUGACUCAUGGUUCCAGCAGCAGAUCAGAGCAGAGCUGUGCUGGCCAUCUGCAGCAGCUUCGCUGUGUCACUUGUCCUUUUAUGCCCGCGUUUUCAAAUGGACUGGAAGUUGCUGCUUCAGGAAAUAGCAGAUGUCAGAUGCUGUAAGCCUGAAUGCUUUCUUCCUGCCUUCUCUUGGGAUUUUCCAGCAUCAUGGACUCACGGGGAUAGCAAGUGAUGAGCUACAUGUCUCUCUGCUCACUCACCCACGAGGCGUAUAAGAGAAGUUAUCUUUCAUGACAAAACUAAGGACAGGCUACGCCGAAAGAGAUCCCCACAUAAAUUACGGGCAGUAGUCACAGCCUGCUAUUCAACUUCAGCACCAUAAUUUUUGUUUAUUGUCCAGAUUACGGUCUAACCAACUAAAGGCAACAGCAGCUGAGAUCAGACCUGCAGAACUGCAGUGAGGAAGUGCCAGGAUGCAGUGUUCCUCCCUCCUGAAAGACGUGUUCAUGUAAGGAGACGCUUACAGUUUUGGAGUACUGUCCUGGGAGAACCUAAGCAGGCAGGAACUUUGUAAGGGAUGUGUAGACCUUCUAAAUGGAACUUUUACUGGUAUAAAUAAGGAAGCAAACUCUACUGCAAGCUACAAUCUGAUGUGCACAAAGGAGACAGCACUUAAUGCAUGCAAAGGUUCAGAAGUAUUCAUACUGAGACAGGUGUACACAACUCAGAGGUCACCUGUUUACAAAAACUCAACCAAGUAAUGACAGAGAAAAUCCCUCUUGUACCAAGCUUGUCAACUAUUCUGCUUGAUAGCAGUAUGAAUAAUGCAGGAAGAAAAAAUAUUCUUGAGAUGGAUCUGGCAAAUUCUAUCCCACGGAACACAACAAAGAAAGAUCUCUACCUUGAAACAUAUUCAGCUCAGCUAUUCCAAGAAAAGGAUAAACAUUACUAUUAGUGCUACAUAUCACCCAGGCUCUAACAGUAGAAGGCCAUUUUGUACUCUUCCCUUGUCUUGUCUGUCUUCAGGCAAAGAAAACAGCAUUAGGACUCACCCCUGGCACUUCAGCACAGAUCACAAACUAUGCACCUUGAAAACCAGCGACAGGAGCUGCUCACGGCCAUCUUUUGCUGACUCAUCCAAAGAGGACCAUCCCCUGCCCCUUGCUCCUUUCUGCUAUCUAUACAGCGCCCUUAUCGCAGCUGGGAUACUUCCUGUAGCGAAGGAACUUCUGCACUAGAAUUUUUUGAAGUUAAUUUGUAGACAAUUAAUCUGAGGUGCUGGAAUGGAGCUUCUGAGAGAUUAGUCUUUCCAGUAGAGAACAAAACAAAGCUAUAAAUACCACUCAGUAGUUGUCACCAACAUGUAUCACCAUAGUCCCAGACAACAGAGGAAGACAAGUGCAUGCUCACAAAAUCCUCAUUUCCCAAACUUCAAAAAUAAUGCAUUAAUGGACUCAUAGUGUACACAAAAGAAUUUUUACACUGAUUGGUCUAAAAUGUAGAGCUGGGGAGUUGGAUUUGAUGACCUUUAAGAGUCCCUUCCAAAUGAUUCUAUGAUUCUGUAUUUAUACCAGCUGAAGUGCUAGCCAAACCUUUACAUGGUAUCAUUUCAGUUCCGCAUGAUCUUGCAAACACUUUCAUGUACCGCAGCUUCAGUCACUUGUGCUAUCCACGUGAGCUAAGUACAUACACAAAUACCUGUGGGACUGGUUUGGUAGGAAAAGACCUAACCAUCGUCAAGGCUGGCAUAGAGAAUUCAAAUUUCUUCAUUGUCAAUUAUGUGAUAAUGAUGAUAUACACCUAUUAGGUAUGCUUUCCCCUAGCAAGUGCUUUCCUCUUUUUCUAAGACUGCUGCAUUUUUUUUUUUCAUGCACACUUUUCUCAUUCUUUUUCUCCUACCCUC